UAGAGUUUGAUCCUGGCUCAGAUUGAACGCUGGCGGCAGGCCUAACACAUGCAAGUCGAACGGUAACAGGAAUCAGCUUGCUGAUUCGCUGACGAGUGGCGGACGGGUGAGUAAUGUCUGGGAAACUGCCUGAUGGAGGGGGAUAACUACUGGAAACGGUAGCUAAUACCGCAUAACGUCGCAAGACCAAAGAGGGGGACCUUCGGGCCUCUUGCCAUCGGAUGUGCCCAGAUGGGAUUAGCUAGUAGGUGGGGUAACGGCUCACCUAGGCGACGAUCCCUAGCUGGUCUGAGAGGAUGACCAGCCACACUGGAACUGAGACACGGUCCAGACUCCUACGGGAGGCAGCAGUGGGGAAUAUUGCACAAUGGGCGCAAGCCUGAUGCAGCCAUGCCGCGUGUAUGAAGAAGGCCUUCGGGUUGUAAAGUACUUUCAGCGGGGAGGAAGGGAGUAAAGUUAAUACCUUUGCUCAUUGACGUUACCCGCAGAAGAAGCACCGGCUAACUCCGUGCCAGCAGCCGCGGUAAUACGGAGGGUGCAAGCGUUAAUCGGAAUUACUGGGCGUAAAGCGCACGCAGGCGGUUUGUUAAGUCAGAUGUGAAAUCCCCGGGCUCAACCUGGGAACUGCAUCUGAUACUGGCAAGCUUGAGUCUCGUAGAGGGGGGUAGAAUUCCAGGUGUAGCGGUGAAAUGCGUAGAGAUCUGGAGGAAUACCGGUGGCGAAGGCGGCCCCCUGGACGAAGACUGACGCUCAGGUGCGAAAGCGUGGGGAGCAAACAGGAUUAGAUACCCCUGGUAGUCCACGCCGUAAACGAUGUCGACUUGGAGGUUGUGCCCUUGAGGCGUGGCUUCCCGGAGCUAACGCGUUAAGUCGACCGCCUGGGGAGUACGGCCGCAAGGUUAAAACUCAAAUGAAUUGACGGGGGCCCGCACAAGCGGUGGAGCAUGUGGUUUAAUUCGAUGCAACGCGAAGAACCUUACCUGGUCUUGACAUCCACAGAACUUUCCAGAGAUGGAUUGGUGCCUUCGGGAACUGUGAGACAGGUGCUGCAUGGCUGUCGUCAGCUCGUGUUGUGAAAUGUUGGGUUAAGUCCCGCAACGAGCGCAACCCUUAUCCUUUGUUGCCAGCGGUCCGGCCGGGAACUCAAAGGAGACUGCCAGUGAUAAACUGGAGGAAGGUGGGGAUGACGUCAAGUCAUCAUGGCCCUUACGACCAGGGCUACACACGUGCUACAAUGGCGCAUACAAAGAGAAGCGACCUCGCGAGAGCAAGCGGACCUCAUAAAGUGCGUCGUAGUCCGGAUUGGAGUCUGCAACUCGACUCCAUGAAGUCGGAAUCGCUAGUAAUCGUGGAUCAGAAUGCCACGGUGAAUACGUUCCCGGGCCUUG
rnacentral:rRNA from 2 species